CUCAGGCUUUCCCCCUGCCUCCAUUACAGGCUUGUCUCUCCAACUGAUCGAAAGGACCACAGUGAGCUCUUCUCUGGGGCAUAAAUUGUCACCCUCUACAGACCCAGCUUGAGUUGGUGUUCUCGAAGAAAAUGACCUUGCAGUUGGACUCUCUUUUUAGAAUAUGAUUCUGUCUUGGGAAACAUCUGCAAACUGAAUACCUACCCAUUAUUUCAUGUGUUAGAAGCAGCAACCUUCAAAGCAAAAGACAGGUUAAGGACAGUUCUUUGAAACCUGCCUGGAUUUGUGUUACUGGGCUCAGGAAACUACCCAGGUGCUGAGCAGUGUCAGGAGCUGCUCCUCUGUGUGUCAGUUGGCUGUCAUGGAGCCAAUGUGAAUGG